CAGCCCUAAACGAUGCGCGUUAGGUGUAUCGGUGACCACGAGUCACCGAGGUGCCGAAGGGAAACCGUGAAACGUGCCGCCUGGGAAGUACGGUCGCAAGGCUGAAACUUAAAGGAAUUGGCGGGGGAGCGCCACAACGGGUGGAGCCUGCGGUUUAAUUGGACUCAACGCCGGGAAGCUCACCGGAUAAGACAGCGGAAUGAUUGCCGGGCUGAAGACCCUGCAUGACCAGCUGAGAGGAGGUGCAUGGCGUAGUCGUGU
rnacentral:rRNA from 1 species